rnacentral:misc_RNA from 1 species
CCUUACGUUACUGUCGUCGUCCCUCAAGCCACUGUGGCUCGCACGCGUGUGAUUAAGAAUGCCAAAAACCCCAAGUGGAAGCAGCGGUUUUAUAUUCCUCUGGCUCAUCCGGUAAUUGACCUCGAAUUUCAUGUUAAGGAUAAUGACCUUUUUGGAGCGGAGGUUAUGGGAACAGUCAAAAUCCCGGCUGAAGAACUCGUCACCGGCAAGUUAAUAAAAGGUUGGUUCUCUAUAAUUGGCUCCUCCGCGAAGCCGGACUCUGCACUACUUCUGGAAAUGGAGUUUACGCCGUGUGAGAAGAAUCCGUUGUACCGCCACGGCAUCGCUGGCGAUCCUAAACAUCGAGGAGUGAUGAAUACGUACUUCCCUUUAAGAAAAGGAAGUAAAGUGACAAUGUAUCAAGAUGCUCAUGUGCAUGAAGGGACGUUGCCUGAGAUCGAAAUUGAUGACGGAAAGGUUUAUAAGCAAGAAAAGUGUUGGGAGGACAUUUGCACUGCCAUAUUAGAGGCUCACCAUAUGAUUUACAUUGUGG